AUGCCGUGGGAGACACCAUGUCACUCUCCCAGAAAGCAGGGACUGUGUGCUGUCAACCUCGGCAUUUCUCUGUGUACUCAGGUCCUGGCACACAGUAGGGCCUCAACAAAUGCGCAACGACUGGCUGACACGAUGCCCAGUGUGAGGCGUACAGAAGAGGAAACAUCAUCUUGUCCUGGAGCAGCUCUCAGCAGAGGUACCAAAAAGCUGGGCGAGGCGCUGAGGAAGGGCUUGGGGAGCGUCCCUGGAAAGAAGCAGAGCGUGGGGCUGGAUCUGAUGAGCUCGCCAGUUCUCAGGGAGCCCUUCGAUGAGCUGUCACCUCGCACCUGCCAGCAUGGCGCUCAUCCAGAAAACAAGAGAUGACAGGUGUCGGCGAGGACGAGGAGAACAGGGAGCCCUGUGCGCUGUUGCUGGGGAUGUAAGUAGGGGCAGCCGCUGCGGAGAACAGUACAGCGGAUCCUCAGAAAACGAAAAGUAGACCUACCCUACGAUCCAGCGACCCCACUUCUGUGCAUAUAGCCGAGUGAAAUGGAAACACCGUCUCGUAAAAUGGGCUGCACCCGCAUGUUCUCCACAGCAUCAUUUACAGCAGCCACAUGUCCGCUGGUGAGUGAAUGGAUAAAGAAAAUUCGGUGUGUGUCUGUGUAUAAUGGAAUAUUAUCCACAGGAAGAAGGAAAUAUUGCCCCUUGUGUCAACAUGGAUGGAUCCGGAAGUAUUACACUAAGUGAGACAAGUCGGAUGGGGAAAGACAAAUACUGUAUGAUGUCCUUUAUGCGUGGAAUCUGAAAAAAGAAAAGAAGGAAAGAAAUCGUAGAUAUAGAGAACAGACUGAUGGUUGGCAGAGUGAAGCGGGUGGAGGGGGUCAAAAGGUCCAAAUCUUAGGUUAUAAAGUUAGUCCUGGGGAUGUAACGUGCAGCAUGGGGACUGUAGUUAACAAUAGUGUAGUGCUUAUUUGAAAGUUGCUAAGAGACUAGAUCUUAAAAGUUCUCGUAACCAGAAAAAAACAACAAAAAAUUGUUAACUGUGUGGUAUGGGUGGUAACUACAUUUAUUGUGGUGAUCAUUUCCCACUAUAUACAAAUUUUGACUCAUGUUGUGCACCUGAAACUAAUAGGAUGUUAUAUGACAAUUAUAUCUUUAAAAAAGUGGGGCGCCUCGGUGGCUCAGUCAGAUUUGGAUAAGCGUCUGCCUUUGGCCGAGGUCAUGAUCUUGCGGUCCUGGGAUCGAGCCCCAUGUCGGGCUUCCUGUUCAGUGGGGAGUCUGCUUCUCCCUCUGCCCCCCGCCCCCCACUUAUGCUCUCUCCCUCAAAUAAAUAAAAUCUUUAAAAAAAAAAAAAAAAGAGA
rnacentral:lncRNA from 1 species